rnacentral:rRNA from 1 species
UACGUAGGGCGCAAGCGUUGUCCGGAAUUAUUGGGCGUAAAGAGCUCGUAGGCGGCUCGUUGCGUCGGCUGUGAAAACCCGCAGCUCAACUGUGGGCUUGCAGCCGAUACGGGCGGGCUGGGAUUCGGUAGGGGAGACUGGAAUUCCUGGUGUAGCGGUGAAAUGCGCAGAUAUCAGGAGGAACACCGGUGGCGAAGGCGGGUCUCUGGGCCGAUAUCGACGCUGAGGAGCGAAAGCGUGGGGAGCGAACAGG